AUGGUAGGAUAGAGGCCUACCAUGGUGGUAACGGGUAACGGGGUGUUAGGGCACGACACCGGAGAGGGAGCCUGAGAAACGGCUACCACAUCCAAGGAAGGCAGCAGGCGCGCAAAUUACCCAAUCCCGACACGGGGAGGUAGUGACAAUAAAUAACAAUACAGGGUUCUUUGAAUCUUGUAAUUGGAAUGAGUACAAUUUAAAUCUCUUAACGAGGAACAAUUGGAGGGCAAGUCUGGUGCCAGCAGCCGCGGUAAUUCCAGCCCCAAUAGCGUAUAUNAAAGUUGUUGCAGUUAAAAAGCUCGUAGUUGAAUUUCGGGAUCAAUACGUCGGUCGUGCUUUCGGGUACGUACUGGCGUCAUUGGUUUCUCCUUUCUGACGAACCAUGAUGUCAUUAAUUUGGUGUUAUGGGGAGUUAGGACUGUUACUUUGAAAAAAUUAGAGUGUUUAAAGCAGGCAUUAGCUUGAAUACAUUAGCAUGGAAUAAUGAAAUAGGACGUUCGAUCCUAUUUUGUUGGUUUCUAGGAUCAACGUAAUGAUUAAUAGGGAUAGUUGGGGGCAUUAGUAUUCAAUUGUCAGAGGUGAAAUUCUUGGAUUUAUUGAAGACUAACUACUGCGAAAGCAUUUGCCAAGGAUGUUUUCAUUAAUCAAGAACGAAAGUUAGGGGAUCGAAGACGAUCAGAUACCGUCGUAGUCUUAACCAUAAACUAUGCCGACUAGGGAUCGGAUGAUGUUAAUUUUUUAAUGACUCAUUCGGCGCCUUACGGGAAACCAAAGUGUUUGGG
rnacentral:rRNA from 1 species